rnacentral:rRNA from 1 species
ACGCUAGCUACAGGCUUAACACAUGCAAGUCGAGGGGCAGCAUGGUCUUAGCUUGCUAAGGCCGAUGGCGACCGGCGCACGGGUGAGUAACACGUAUCCAACCUGCCGUCUACUCUUGGACAGCCUUCUGAAAGGAAGAUUAAUACAAGAUGGCAUCAUGAGUCCACAUGUUCACAUGAUUAAAGGUAUUCCGGUAGACGAUGGGGAUGCGUUCCAUUAGAUAGUAGGCGGGGUAACGGCCCACCUAGUCUUCGAUGGAUAGGGGUUCUGAGAGGAAGGUCCCCCACAUUGGAACUGAGACACGGUCCAAACUCCUACGGGAGGCAGCAGUGAGGAAUAUUGGUCAAUGGGCGAGAGCCUGAACCAGCCAAGUAGCGUGAAGGAUGACUGCCCUAUGGGUUGUAAACUUCUUUUAUAAAGGAAUAAAGUCGGGUAUGCAUACCCGUUUGCAUGUACUUUAUGAAUAAGGAUCGGCUAACUCCGUGCCAGCAGCCGCGGUAAUACGGAGGAUCCGAGCGUUAUCCGGAUUUAUUGGGUUUAAAGGGAGCGUAGAUGGAUGUUUAAGUCAGUUGUGAAAGUUUGCGGCUCAACCGUAAAAUUGCAGUUGAUACUGGAUAUCUUGAGUGCAGUUGAGGCAGGCGGAAUUCGUGGUGUAGCGGUGAAAUGCUUAGAUAUCACGAAGAACUCCGAUUGCGAAGGCAGCCUGCUAAGCUGCAACUGACAUUGAGGCUCGAAAGUGUGGGUAUCAAACAGGAUUAGAUACCCUGGUAGUCCACACGGUAAACGAUGAAUACUCGCUGUUUGCGAUAUACAGCAAGCGGCCAAGCGAAAGCGUUAAGUAUUCCACCUGGGGAGUACGCCGGCAACGGUGAAACUCAAAGGAAUUGACGGGGGCCCGCACAAGCGGAGGAACAUGUGGUUUAAUUCGAUGAUACGCGAGGAACCUUACCCGGGCUUAAAUUGCAGAUGAAUUACGGUGAAAGCCGUAAGCCGCAAGGCAUCUGUGAAGGUGCUGCAUGGUUGUCGUCAGCUCGUGCCGUGAGGUGUCGGCUUAAGUGCCAUAACGAGCGCAACCCUUGUUGUCAGUUACUAACAGGUCAUGCUGAGGACUCUGACAAGACUGCCAUCGUAAGAUGUGAGGAAGGUGGGGAUGACGUCAAAUCAGCACGGCCCUUACGUCCGGGGCUACACACGUGUUACAAUGGGGGGUACAGAGGGCCGCUACCACGCGAGUUGAUGCCAAUCCCAAAAACCUCUCUCAGUUCGGACUGGAGUCUGCAACCCGACUCCACGAAGCUGGAUUCGCUAGUAAUCGCGCAUCAGCCACGGCGCGGUGAAUACGUUCCCGGGCCUUGUACACACCGCCCGUCAAGCCAUGGGAGCCGGGGGUACCUGAAGUGCGUAACCGCGAGGAGCGCCCUAGGGUAAAACUGGA